ACAACUGCAAGUGGUGGAUCACUCGGCUCGUGUGUCGAUGAAGAGUGCAGCAAACUGUGUGAACUGAUGUGAAUCGCAGACUGCUACGAACAUCGACUUCUUGAACGCAACUGGCGGUCGUGGGCUUGCCCAUGGCCACGUUUGACUGAGAGUCGGCUUAUAAACUAUCGCAACGCUUGAUUGGUUGCGUAUUGGACAGUUUGCUUGCCGCCGUUAUUUAGCCGUCCCCUCGCGGGAUGGUCCGGCUGUGUAGGCUCUGUCUUAAGAUACUAAUAGCGCUCUUGAUCUCAUGCCUUUGUGCGUGGUGGUGUAUCUUGCUCGAGUUCGUGUGUAUUUAGUUCAAGGCCUUCAACCGGACAGGUGUGGCUUAAUUGUAACGCUAGUCCAUAUUGGAUUGCUGUUGCUGUGCCUUGAAUAGAACUCUGAGCGUGCAUUGCCAUGUGCUUAGUUGACGACUGGAGAUGAAGAUGGUACGCUAUUGAUACAAUAUCUUGAAUGGACAUACAGCUCCAUUGCCCGGCCUCAGUUCAAUCGUGAUUACCCGCUGAAUUUAAGCAUA
rnacentral:rRNA from 1 species